UACGUAGGUGGCAAGCGUUGUCCGGAAUUAUUGGGCGUAAAGCGCGCGCAGGCGGUCCCUUAAGUCUGAUGUGAAAGCCCACGGCUCAACCGUGGGGGGUCAUUGGAAACUGGGGGACUUGAGUACAGAAGAGGAAAGCGGAAUUCCACGUGUAGCGGUGAAAUGCGUAGAGAUGUGGAGGAACACCAGUGGCGAAGGCGGCUUUCUGGUCUGUAACUGACGCUGAGGCGCGAAAGCGUGGGGAGCAAACAGG
rnacentral:rRNA from 1 species